GCAUCGAUGAAGAACGCAGCGAAAUGCGAUAAGUAAUGCGAAUUGCAGAAUUCAGUGAAUCAUCGAAUCUUUGAACGCACAUUGCGCCCGCCAGUAUUCUGGCGGGCAUGCCUGUCUGAGCGUCGUUUCGACCCUCGCGCCCGGCUUCUGUCGGGGGCGGUGUUGGGGAUCGGCCACACCCACUCCGGUGGGAGGCCGGCCCCUAAAUCCAGUGGCGGCCACGCUGUAGCCUCCCCUGCGUAGUACUAAAACCACCUCGCAGGCGGAGAGCGGUGCGGCCCGCCGUAAAACCCCCCAACUUUUACAAGGUCGACCUCAGAUCAGGUAGGAAUACCCGCUGAACUUAAGCAUAUCAAUAAGCGGAGGA
rnacentral:rRNA from 1 species